rnacentral:rRNA from 1 species
GACGAACGCUGGCGGCGUGCCUAACACAUGCAAGUCGAACGGAGUGAAGCCCUUCGGGACUUUACUUAGUGGCGAACGGGUGAGUAACGCGUGAGGAACCUGCCUUUCAGUGGGGGACAACAGUUGGAAACGACUGCUAAUACCGCAUGACGCUUCUUGGGGGCAUCCCCGGGAAGCCAAAAGAUUUUAUUGCUGAAAGAUGGGCCCUCGCGUCUGAUUAGCUGGUUGGUGAGGUAACGGCCCACCAAGGCGACGAUCAGUAGCCGGCCUGAGAGGGUGAACGGCCACAUUGGGACUGAGACACGGCCCAAAACUCCUACGGGAGGCAGCAGUGGGGAAUAUUGCACAAAUGGGGGAAACCCUGAUGCAGCGACGCCGCGUGAGUGAGGAAGUAUUUCGGUAUGUAAAAACUCUAUCAGCAGGGAAGAUAAUGACGGUACCUGACUAAGAAGCACCGGCUAAAAUACGUGC